AAGUCGUAACAAGGUUUCCGUAGGUGAACCUGCGGAAGGAUCAUUAUUGAAUAACUUUGGCGUGGUUGUAGCUGGUCCUCUCGGGGGCAUGUGCUCGCCCGUCAUCUUUAUAUCUCCACCUGUGCACCUUUUGUAGACGUUGGAACUGGAUAGGAGAGGGACUUGUCCUUCAAGUUGAAGGUUUUUUCGGCGCUCUACGUUUUCAUAUACCCCAAAGAAUGUAACAGAAUGUAUCUUAUGGCUUUAUGCCUAUAAACUAUAUACAACUUUCAGCAACGGAUCUCUUGGCUCUC
rnacentral:misc_RNA from 1 species